CCCACACACAGACACACAUGCACACACACCACACACGUGCGCACAUACCACACACAUGCAUGCACACACACACAGUGCACACACGUGUGCACACACACAGACACACAUGCACACACAUGCGUGCAUGCACACUCUUCAGUCACAGCUCCCAGACAGACACACAUGCACACACAUGCGUGCAUGCACACUCUUCAGUCACAGCUCCCAGACAGUGGUGGCAUCAUCCUCUCA
rnacentral:lncRNA from 1 species